UUAAGCGACUAAGCGUACACGGUGGAUGCCCUGGCAGUCAGAGGCGAUGAAGGACGUGCUAAUCUGCGAUAAGCGUCGGUAAGGUGAUAUGAACCGUUAUAACCGGCGAUUUCCGAAUGGGGAAACCCAGUGUGUUUCGACACACUAUCAUUAACUGAAUCCAUAGGUUAAUGAGGCGAACCGGGGGAACUGAAACAUCUAAGUACCCCGAGGAAAAGAAAUCAACCGAGAUUCCCCCAGUAGCGGCGAGCGAACGGGGAGCAGCCCAGAGCCUGAAUCAGUAUGUGUGUUAGUGGAAGCGUCUGGAAAGGCGCGCGAUACAGGGUGACAGCCCCGUACACAAAAAUGCACAUGCUGUGAGCUCGAUGAGUAGGGCGGGACACGUGGUAUCCUGUCUGAAUAUGGGGGGACCAUCCUCCAAGGCUAAAUACUCCUGACUGACCGAUAGUGAACCAGUACCGUGAGGGAAAGGCGAAAAGAACCCCGGCGAGGGGAGUGAAAAAGAACCUGAAACCGUGUACGUACAAGCAGUGGGAGCUCGCUUAGGCGUGUGACUGCGUACCUUUUGUAUAAUGGGUCAGCGACUUAUAUUCUGUAGCAAGGUUAACCGAAUAGGGGAGCCGAAGGGAAACCGAGUCUUAACUGGGCGUUAAGUUGCAGGGUAUAGACCCGAAACCCGGUGAUCUAGCCAUGGGCAGGUUGAAGGUUGGGUAACACUAACUGGAGGACCGAACCGACUAAUGUUGAAAAAUUAGCGGAUGACUUGUGGCUGGGGGUGAAAGGCCAAUCAAACCGGGAGAUAGCUGGUUCUCCCCGAAAGCUAUUUAGGUAGCGCCUCGUGAAUUCAUCUCCGGGGGUAGAGCACUGUUUCGGCAAGGGGGUCAUCCCGACUUACCAACCCGAUGCAAACUGCGAAUACCGGAGAAUGUUAUCACGGGAGACACACGGCGGGUGCUAACGUCCGUCGUGAAGAGGGAAACAACCCAGACCGCCAGCUAAGGUCCCAAAGUCAUGGUUAAGUGGGAAACGAUGUGGGAAGGCCCAGACAGCCAGGAUGUUGGCUUAGAAGCAGCCAUCAUUUAAAGAAAGCGUAAUAGCUCACUGGUCGAGUCGGCCUGCGCGGAAGAUGUAACGGGGCUAAACCAUGCACCGAAGCUGCGGCAGCGACGCUUAUGCGUUGUUGGGUAGGGGAGCGUUCUGUAAGCCUGCGAAGGUGUGCUGUGAGGCAUGCUGGAGGUAUCAGAAGUGCGAAUGCUGACAUAAGUAACGAUAAAGCGGGUGAAAAGCCCGCUCGCCGGAAGACCAAGGGUUCCUGUCCAACGUUAAUCGGGGCAGGGUGAGUCGACCCCUAAGGCGAGGCCGAAAGGCGUAGUCGAUGGGAAACAGGUUAAUAUUCCUGUACUUGGUGUUACUGCGAAGGGGGGACGGAGAAGGCUAUGUUGGCCGGGCGACGGUUGUCCCGGUUUAAGCGUGUAGGCUGGUUUUCCAGGCAAAUCCGGAAAAUCAAGGCUGAGGCGUGAUGACGAGGCACUACGGUGCUGAAGCAACAAAUGCCCUGCUUCCAGGAAAAGCCUCUAAGCAUCAGGUAACAUCAAAUCGUACCCCAAACCGACACAGGUGGUCAGGUAGAGAAUACCAAGGCGCUUGAGAGAACUCGGGUGAAGGAACUAGGCAAAAUGGUGCCGUAACUUCGGGAGAAGGCACGCUGAUAUGUAGGUGAAGUCCCUCGCGGAUGGAGCUGAAAUCAGUCGAAGAUACCAGCUGGCUGCAACUGUUUAUUAAAAACACAGCACUGUGCAAACACGAAAGUGGACGUAUACGGUGUGACGCCUGCCCGGUGCCGGAAGGUUAAUUGAUGGGGUUAGCGCAAGCGAAGCUCUUGAUCGAAGCCCCGGUAAACGGCGGCCGUAACUAUAACGGUCCUAAGGUAGCGAAAUUCCUUGUCGGGUAAGUUCCGACCUGCACGAAUGGCGUAAUGAUGGCCAGGCUGUCUCCACCCGAGACUCAGUGAAAUUGAACUCGCUGUGAAGAUGCAGUGUACCCGCGGCAAGACGGAAAGACCCCGUGAACCUUUACUAUAGCUUGACACUGAACAUUGAGCCUUGAUGUGUAGGAUAGGUGGGAGGCUUUGAAGUGUGGACGCCAGUCUGCAUGGAGCCGACCUUGAAAUACCACCCUUUAAUGUUUGAUGUUCUAACGUUGACCCGUAAUCCGGGUUGCGGACAGUGUCUGGUGGGUAGUUUGACUGGGGCGGUCUCCUCCUAAAGAGUAACGGAGGAGCACGAAGGUUGGCUAAUCCUGGUCGGACAUCAGGAGGUUAGUGCAAUGGCAUAAGCCAGCUUGACUGCGAGCGUGACGGCGCGAGCAGGUGCGAAAGCAGGUCAUAGUGAUCCGGUGGUUCUGAAUGGAAGGGCCAUCGCUCAACGGAUAAAAGGUACUCCGGGGAUAACAGGCUGAUACCGCCCAAGAGUUCAUAUCGACGGCGGUGUUUGGCACCUCGAUGUCGGCUCAUCACAUCCUGGGGCUGAAGUAGGUCCCAAGGGUAUGGCUGUUCGCCAUUUAAAGUGGUACGCGAGCUGGGUUUAGAACGUCGUGAGACAGUUCGGUCCCUAUCUGCCGUGGGCGCUGGAGAACUGAGGGGGGCUGCUCCUAGUACGAGAGGACCGGAGUGGACGCAUCACUGGUGUUCGGGUUGUCAUGCCAAUGGCACUGCCCGGUAGCUAAAUGCGGAAGAGAUAAGUGCUGAAAGCAUCUAAGCACGAAACUUGCCNGAAGUGUGGACGCCAGUCUGCAUGGAGCCGACCUUGAAAUACCACCCUUUAAUGUUUGAUGUUCUAACGUUGACCCGUAAUCCGGGUUGCGGACAGUGUCUGGUGGGUAGUUUGACUGGGGCGGUCUCCUCCUAAAGAGUAACGGAGGAGCACGAAGGUUGGCUAAUCCUGGUCGGACAUCAGGAGGUUAGUGCAAUGGCAUAAGCCAGCUUGACUGCGAGCGUGACGGCGCGAGCAGGUGCGAAAGCAGGUCAUAGUGAUCCGGUGGUUCUGAAUGGAAGGGCCAUCGCUCAACGGAUAAAAGGUACUCCGGGGAUAACAGGCUGAUACCGCCCAAGAGUUCAUAUCGACGGCGGUGUUUGGCACCUCGAUGUCGGCUCAUCACAUCCUGGGGCUGAAGUAGGUCCCAAGGGUAUGGCUGUUCGCCAUUUAAAGUGGUACGCGAGCUGGGUUUAGAACGUCGUGAGACAGUUCGGUCCCUAUCUGCCGUGGGCGCUGGAGAACUGAGGGGGGCUGCUCCUAGUACGAGAGGACCGGAGUGGACGCAUCACUGGUGUUCGGGUUGUCAUGCCAAUGGCACUGCCCGGUAGCUAAAUGCGGAAGAGAUAAGUGCUGAAAGCAUCUAAGCACGAAACUUGCCCCGAGAUGAGUUCUCCCUGACUCCUUGAGAGUCCUGAAGGAACGUUGAAGACGACGACGUUGAUAGGCCGGGUGUGUAAGCGCAGCGAUGCGUUGAGCUAACCGGUACUAAUGAACCGUGAGGCUUAACCUU
rnacentral:rRNA from 1 species